UAAGUUAGCUCAGUUGGUUAGAGAGUCGUGCUAAUUACGCGAAGGUCGUGGGUUCGAUCCCCCACGGGCCACUUAA
rnacentral:tRNA from 1 species